CACGGGGGGAGCAAGCGUUGUUCGGAAUCACUGGGCGUAAAGGGCGUGUAGGCGGUCUGGUAAGUGGGAUGUGAAAGCCCCCGGCUCACCCGGGGAUCUGCAUUCCAAACUGCCAGACUUGAGUAUGGGAGAGGACAGGGGAAUUCCUGGUGUAGCGGUGAAAUGCGUAGAUAUCUGGAGGAACACCGGUGGCGAAGGCGGCAUCCUGGACCAACACUGACGCUGAGGAGCGAAAGCCAGGGGAGCAAACGGG
rnacentral:rRNA from 1 species